ACCAUCACAGAAGACGAAGUGGGAGUACCACACAAUGCUGUGAGAGACAGAGCGAGAGAGUAUGCACAUUCAUACAGCCUUUAUUACAAUAUUCUGUUCAUCAUAAUAGUCCAAUCCAAGUAUCAUCUAUCACUCCCAGGUGGAAAAGCUGCUAAAACUACCAAGAAGGCAAGCAAGAAGUGAACACUGAGGCUAACAAGAGUCCUGGGCUCUGCCAGGUUUCAGGACUAAGAGCUGCCCAAAGACUUUCUUUUCUGGAGAAGGAGGAACCAUGACAGAUAGUCAUGGGGCAAGGAUGCCAACAUCAAGUUCCUGAGAAAGACUGUAUUUCCAGAAAGGAAAGAACUCACUUGCAUGAGUACUCCUGGUGCCCAUGACAAACCUCAGGAUGAGAAUAAUCAAAGGAAAAAAACGAAAUGAACAAGACAGCACAAUUAUACAUCACCAAACCAUGCAGGCAAGAACAAAAGCUUAGGAAAUAAUGAAGCCACAAGAUGAAGCUGGCCUAGUGAAUAAAGUCAUGGAACAAACUGA